UUAAAUUCUUUUCAAAAUUUAAAUUAAUCUUGUCACGUAACAUACUAGUAAAAACUAAAUUUCUGACACGGUGUAUUAUAAUAAUGUUGAAUAAAAAGACAUACCCUUGCCAGAAAUGCCUAUCGGUUUUGCAUGGCAUAGUUCAGAUCAGUUUCCAAUGGGAUAACACCUCCUAACACAUAUCCUUCGAAUUUCACUUGUAAAAAUUCGAAUCUCACUUCUAACAGCUUGUCUGUUUUGACUGUACCUGCACACAAACUUUCCAUCCUCUCGCAAAAGAAUACUGUGAAUUCCUCCAAGGACGGGAAACUUAAACUCCCUUUGUAGAACCUUCUCAGCUU